UACGUAGGGAGCAAGCGUUGUCCGGAAUCAUUGGGCGUAAAGAGCGUGUAGGCGGCCAGACAGGUCCGUUGUGAAAACUGGAGGCUCAACCUCCAGACGUCGAUGGAAACCGUCUGGCUAGAGUCCGGAAGAGGAGAGUGGAAUUCCUGGUGUAGCGGUGAAAUGCGCAGAUAUCAGGAAGAACACCCGUGGCGAAAGCGGCUCUCUGGGACGGUACUGACGCUGAGACGCGAAAGCGUGAGGAGCGAACAGG
rnacentral:rRNA from 1 species